ACAAUCCUGCUUAAUCUUCUU
rnacentral:snRNA from 1 species